rnacentral:rRNA from 1 species
UACGAAGGGGGCUAGCGUUGCUCGGAAUCACUGGGCGUAAAGCGCACGUAGGCGGACUCUUAAGUCGGUGGUGAAAUCCUGGAGCUCAACUCCAGAACUGCCUUCGAUACUGGUAGUCUUGAGUUCGAGAGAGGUGAGUGGAAUUCCGAGUGUAGAGGUGAAAUUCGUAGAUAUUCGGAGGAACACCAGUGGCGAAGGCGGCUCACUGGCUCGAUACUGACGCUGAGGUGCGAAAGCGUGGGGGAGCAAACAGG